UGCCGAGGUGGUGGAAUUGGUAGACACGCUACCUUGAGGUGGUAGUGGCCAUAGGCUGUAGGGGUUCGAGUCCCCUCCUCGGUACCAU
rnacentral:tRNA from 1 species